CAGCUUGAUCCAAUUGAUAGAUCUCUAAAUAUCACAAAAACCCUAUCCAACCUCAAUCUACCAACUUUUGAAACCCUCUUGUGCUAAAAACUAGAUAUCUCUAAACCACAUUAUUAGAUUAUUAUAAAAUUUUGUAUACACUUAACACACCCAAUAUUUCAAAUAAUAUCAAUUUUUCAACUAUAGAUGCUACACCAAUUGCACGAACUAGCCAAAAUUGCUAGUCCUAAUUAUAUUAUAUAAAACCCAAAUCACCAAUACAAAGCGUGACUUUGAACAACAAUUGCUAAGUCCUCAAAAACCUUCCAAAAACAAUCCUUAUGCUUCUAGAAAGAACUUCAAGCCAGCUCUCAAAUCUUAUUCUUCGAUCUUCGAAUGAAUCCCUAUUUUGCCCUAGGCCGUCGUUUUUGUGGCCAUAGGUCUGAUUUCGACCCUGUCUCACAAAUGGCCAACCCCCGGGUAUCAAUCUAACCUAUCCUAAGGAGUUUUUAGCCCAACCCUACUCUCAACUUAAUCCUAGUAUCAACUAUAUUAAUUAUUUAUCUUUUCUAACCUGAUUUUAUCAAUUUAUGGUCUUUCUAAGGUAAUAGAAGAAUCUCUACAACCUAGAAAGUAAAAUUAUUAACUAACUUUCAACUUACUAACUAUUAAGAUAAGAAAAUAAUCUACGAGGCUUUUAUAAAAGUCAUGUUUAGACACUUCAAAUUAUAAUUGAACUAAGAUAAUUAGAUAUUAAUUAGAAAUUCAAUUUUGAUUAUAAUUUCACUAUAUAAUUGUAUUAUUUCAUCUUUAUUUUUUCUUUCAAUAAUUCUACCAUACUUCGUAAAUGUGCCCUUGAUACUAAAAUUGGCCUUAGAUUCUAAGGUAUAUGUGGUACAGUGAAAAUAACCAUAGGCAUUAUGGUAUUUGGAUCCACACACUCAAUUUCGUAAGAUUCGAAGGCAAAUGAUCUACCUUAUUUUUCCAACAUCUCUUUAAAGCAAGUAAUUUCUUUUGGCAAUAAAGAACCAUCAGAAUCAAUCUUUAAUUCUUAAAAAGUCUCUUUAGUAAACUUGUGACCAAUAUUCUUUAGAUCCCUCAAGCUCCUUUUUCUUGAUGCUUCUCUCAUUUGUUCUUUAGAAUCUUCUAGCAAAGGUCCAGCAACCGGUUUAAUUUUCUUAUCUACUGUCUUAUAUUUUAUCUCAAUUAUAACCUCUGAUGCUUGAAAAGAUUCAAUUAUGUCAUAAACUUUUCUUGAAUGAAUUGGUAUAACUUUAUCAUCAUUAUCUAAUCCAAUAAACUCAAUCAAUUCCAAAAGAUCCUCCAAUCUAUUUUCUUUAUUAAUACCAAUUAUCUUUUCAUUAUCUUCUAAUAUUCCUAAUCUAUAUAAUUCUUUUUGAAUAGUACUUAAUUCUUUUCUUUUUAAAUCAUCUAUCUUCUUAUAUAUAAUACUUCCAUUUUUAAAAAUACUAAUAAAUCCUCCAUUAAAGGCACCUACAUCUUGCAGGAGUACCUCUUUUUCAGUACCUCUAUAAUCUCGCUUUAUAGUAGUACUCCCAAAAAAUCCUUGAAUUCUUCAACAACCCUUGGCAAUCAUGGUCAAUCAAAGCAACAACCGACUCGUCCAUAUCUCCAAUCUUCACUAAUGCCUCUGUAGUUGCUCUAGCCCAAUGCUUCCAAGUAUAAUGACUUGAAACCUCUCUAUUUUUAUGAUGUUGAUGAUCAAAACAUUGUCAUGUUGUGGUUUGGCUACUAUAUGAAAAUAAUGUAAUUAUGUACUUAAUAUAUAAUUUACUAAGUAACAUCGUGAGAAUCGUGUUAGUAGAUUUUAGUUGGUUGUAGAAUAUAAUUUGAUUAUUACCUUGAAAAGAGGUUGUUUAAAAAGAUUACUAUAGAAUUUGUAUAACUUUAAUUUUAUUUUUGAUUGUGGUUUUAAGAUUGGUUUUGGUUGAUAGUAACUUCUAAAUAUUAAGAGUCACCUUUGUUAGACAUUGGUGACCUUUGAAAACUUAUUUUGGUUCUUUUAUUUGAUAUUUAGAGCAUAAAUUAUAUAAAUCUUAUAAGAAAAAGGAUUGAAGAAGGGUUUUGGUAGCAAAGGGAGUAAUUAGGGCACCAAUAUAGAUGAAUGGAGAUGAAUGAUGAAAAUCUCCAUUCCUAUUGGUCAAAAAUCAUGACCAAUAGGCUUUGAGGAGGCUGCCUGAGGCCAUAUUAAAGAUUAGGGUUAGUUUUUUGGGGCCAUUUGAGCUUUGAAGGCUAGAGUCAGAAAUUUUAGGUUUUUCACUAUGGUUUUGGUACAAAUCUUGUAUGAUUUGGAGUUUAUAUGAAGGAGAUAUAGGUGCUCAAAGUUAAGGUAUUGAUUUGGGAGCUACUGUCACUCUUUUUGACAUAACGAAUACAUACGGAUGGCAAUUGAGGAUCGGUGACUGCAAUUGGAGAGAGCACUUUUGCAACUACACUUUUUGUGUACUGCUUAUUGGAUUCUAAGUUGAAGUGAAGGAGUUAUUGGAUUUUGAAGUCAGCACAUGCAAUCUAACGGUAGUAGGUGACCCAAUUUACUAGUGGUUGUGUCUUGAGCUAUAUCUUGAACAAUUUGACAAGUUUUUAGCUCAAAAUUUCAGAAAAUGUAUAAUUUCAUGUUGAUAAACUUUAUACAUAAUUUUUAUGAUAUUUAAGAAUUGUAUUCUUGAGAUAUUAAUAAAAUAGUGCUCGGGUGCUUAUAAAUUAGGGUUUAGAGCAUUUGCUAGGAUUUCUUAGAUGCCAGAAGAUCAGGAGUGAAUUUUUAGUUGGUUUUUUUUUGUAAUAAAAGUUUAAAAUAAUAUUCUACCUAUCCUAUAAAUUUGAGACAAAUUGAAUGGCUAGAUCAAGAGUAAUGAAUUUCUAAAGUUUGAGAAGAAAAAACCCUUUGUAGAAAAAAUAUGUUUUGAAGGGAUUUUGUUAUAUUUUGAAUUUUAUGCAAAUCAAAGGAAUUUUGGAAGCUAAGACAAGAUUCAUAUAAAGGUUUAACCUAAAUUCUUUAUAGGUAGAUACCCAGUAUAUUUCCAAAUAGUAAAUCAUGCUAUACGACAACUUAUUCUUUGAUUAUGACUCCUCCCUUCACUUGCUGAUUAUUUGGGAUAAUUAUCAAAUACACCUUCUUCACCUUUAUAUAUGUAUGCAUCAAUAGCAUGAUUCAAUCUAGCUUCUCUUAUUAAUUACCUCUUUUAUUUAAUAUAGCCAAUAAUGACAUCAUGGAAUUCUUUCUUGGUAAUUCCUAAAAUUUCUUUCAAUGUAAACUCAACCUUAGCAUUGAGCACACAUUCUUCAAGUACUCCCUUUAAAUCUAUUGCCGCUUCAAUAUCAGAUAGUAAUUUAUAAGUUGUCAAUUUACCUUUAUCUUUCAUCUCCUUUGCUUUAUCUUUUGAUAUUGUUGAAGUAUCCUUUGAGAGCAAUUCUUAUGAAGCCGCUGCACGAGCCUUAUCUCCUGAAGUUUGCCUCUUAGAAGAAUUUUCUUUCCUUGAAUCAUCAAAAUUUCCUCUCCUCUUUUCUUCCAUUAAAGCUUCAUCCUCACUUUUAGCAAUAUAUGCAUGUAUUGACAAAGCUUCUACAAGAUCCUCCCAAUCCAUAGUACCACAAAUUAUUGCAACAGUUUUCAAUAAAGCUUCCCGUGGCAUCUUCUCUUUUUACAUUGUAGAAAUGGCAAAAGACCAAAGUCCACUUAAUUGAACAUUUCCAACAAAAUUUUGUUUGCCAUCAUUAUCCACCCUAGUUCCAUAACUUGCACCUUCUAUUGUUGCAAUUCUAUGUGUUAUCAAAUAAUCUUUAACCAAUGCUUUCAUGCCUCCUUUACCAAAGUUGGUUUGGAGAAGAUCACUAGUAUCUUUCAAUGUAACAUUCCCAUCUUUUUAAUAAAAAAUGCCUUGUUGUAUUAUCUCAUCAAAUUCACCACAAUCUUUUUGAGAAUGAGAAUCAUCAUCACACCAAAUACAUCUUUACACAUAUCCUUAUUUAAAAGUAGCCUUUGAAUUCAUUGUAGAAGUCUUUUCUUCAAGCCUUGCAAGUUUGAUUUAAAGAUCUUACUUCUCUCGUACAAUCUCCUCAAGUUCCAUAUCUUCUUUUUUUAGUGUAAUAAAUGGAGGUUGGACAAUAGGCACAGUCAAUUAUGUAGUAGGCAAUGGAAUCUUUGGUACUUGUACCACUCUUUGAAUACCAAACCUAUCUUUUUUCUUUUAUUUUUUUACAAGUAAUCUAGUAGCAUCUUCAACAACUCUCCACUUUGUUGUCAAUCCUUCUUCUUCUUUCUUAUCUUCAAGAAAAACCUCUAAUUUCUCUUGUAAUUCUUCAUCAAUAACUUGAAGAAACAAUUCAACUUUGUUUGGUUCUAAUAUUAACUUUUCUAUUUUUGAUAAUCGAGAAAAUUACCUUUCAAAUUGUCUUAAUAAUUCUAUAGCUUGCAAAUUUUCGUUAGGUCGCUCAAUCCAUUCUAAGAAUGAUUUCUUAGUAACUCGAUCAGUAUCCUCCAAAAAAUACUCAUCCUUCAAUGCAUAUAAAAAUACCUCCCAUGAACUUCCAAAUUGUUCCAUAAUAGACCUUAUAUGCUCUCUUAUCUCUAGUGCCAUAGCAAGCUCAAAUAAUUGAAUCAUCUCCUUCUCAGAAAUACAAUUCAAUUCCAUUUUUCAUACAUAAUAUCUUAAAUAUUUGGAAAUAUUCCUUCCAUCAAAUUAGUCAACCUUAUUAACCACUACUUCCAAUGCUUCGGUUGCCAAAGCCUCUUUGCGAUCAUUGCCUUAUUGUUGUUGCAUAAAUAAUGUAAAUGCUUGAAAUAUUUUUGCAGUGUUUGGAUCAAAGUACAUACCUUGUUCACCAGUAGAAAAUUCCACUUGAAGUUGUGCUUGAAGAUCCACUUAAAGCUCUACCUAAAGCUCCAUCAAAAAGUCCAAAUUCAACCUUCUUGCCUUCUUGCGCCAUCAAUUCUAAAUAACCACAAAUAUAAUCCAAUACCUUCUACUCCAAACUUUCACGUUGGAUUCACCACUUAGGUUGUAUUACGUGUUAUCUUGCUCGAGAAUGCACCGAGCACCUAGCUGUGAAAUGUGAGGAUGUGUUUCACAAAUAUCUAAGAAACCCUAAUAGGAAUCACCCAUACAAGAAGAACAUAAUCUGACAUUCAAUUCAAAAGUACUAAAAAUACUCUUCUUAGUAGCCUUAAUCAUAAAUAAAUCCCAAUUACCUUAUUACUUUCAUAUUUAUGCAAUUUAGAUUUUUCUUGUAAGUCCCAAUCCUAAUCAAUGAGCUUUAAUAAGAUGUAAUAUCCAAUCCGAUCAUCCACUUGAUGUAAAAUUUUAUAUGCAAUUGUCAAUAUAAGUCUUCUAUAUGCUCAAGAAUUUUUAGCCCAAUCCAACUUACAAAUUGUGAAAAAAACCUCCAAAAAGUGCACUGAUGUCACUUGGCUGCUAACUUGAAAACUAAAGCAGAAAUCCCAGUAGUGAUUUCUCUCUUUCCAACCGUUAACUUUGACUCAAAAUUGGUGUGCAACUUGAUCUUCAAGUCCUUCAACACCAUGCCAAAUUUCAGCUUGAUCCAAUUGAUAGAUCUCUAAAUAUCACAAAAACCCUAUCCAACCUCAAUCUACCAACUUUUGAAACCCUCUUGUGCUAAAAACUAGAUAUCUCUAAACCACAUUAUUAGAUUAUUAUAAAAUUUUGUAUACACUUAACACACCCAAUAUUUCAAAUAAUAUCAAUUUUUCAACUAUAGAUGCUACACCAAUUACACGAACUAGCCAAAAUUGCUAGUCCUAAUUAUAUUAUAUAAAACCCAAAUCACCAAUACAAAGCGUGACUUUGAACAACAAUUGCUAAGUCCUCAAAAACCUUCCAAAAACAAUCCUUAUGCUUCUAGAAAGAACUUCAAGCCAGCUCUCAAAUCUUAUUCUUCGAUCUUCGAAUGAAUCCCUAUUUUGCCCUAGGCCGUCGUUUUUGUGGCCAUAGGUCUGAUUUCGACCCUGUCUCAC
rnacentral:lncRNA from 1 species